rnacentral:rRNA from 1 species
GACGGGGGGUCCUAGCGUUGUUCGGAAUCAUUGGGCGUAAAGCGUGUGCAGGUGGUAUGGUAAGUUGGAUGUGAAAUCCUUGGGCUUAACCCAAGAAGUGCAUUCAAAACUACCACACUUGAGUAUGGAAGAGGGUCGUGGAAUUCCGCGUGUAGUGGUGAAAUACGUAGAUAUGCGGAGGAACACCGGCGGCGAAGGCAGCGACCUGGUCCUAUACUGACACUCAUACACGAAAGCGUGGGGAUCAAACAGG